rnacentral:tRNA from 8 species
GUCUCAGUAGCUCAAUUGGAUAGAGCAUCCCCCUCCUAAGGGGAAGGUUGCAGGUUCAAUUCCUGCCUGGGACG